UGUGCGAUUGUUAUUUCCGUCUUCAGGCGAAGGUUUCGUCGACCUGUGGGCAGAACAACAACAAGACGUAGGUCUAGGCAGGGUAAGCGGCUUGAAAGGGGGGUUGAAUGGAAUGCUUACUUCUAUAGUUUUCCACGGGCUGCCGAUCUUCAUUUGCAUGUGCGAAACAUGGACCUGUGCUACCUCCCAGAAAAAACUGUAGAAAUCGACAGUUAUCCUGCGGGAUACUUCACAUUCAGUUUCUGCAGUUGAAACUGGCAUCUUUAACACCCACGCCAUCCUUAGGCGGACGACCUGAAAUUAUAAGAAGGCAACACAGUUAGCAGGAGGUGAGGAAACAUCAGCACGGAGGGCCGAUGCAACUUGGAGCGCUGCAUGCCCAUCUGCAGACAGAGCACGCUGGCUGGCAGAGGCUUCUUACCUUUAUGAGCGGGAUGUGUACACAGUCAAAAAAUAUGUUUCUCAUAGGCGACAGCGAUCUGCUGCACUGCUCCCUCCGUUUUUUUUUUUUGCCACCUGCAGUAUUGUUGCAGGGCUGCUGGUGCUGCAGCACCUGUAUGUAAAAUGUAGGAUGUUGUUCCGGGAAGACUUUGGUCGCAUUGUGCCUAUGGGAAAAAACAAGAAGUAAAAUCGUCGUUCGACCCCUAGAUGUGCAGAUAUAGAGUACCGCCUGGAAUCAAAGCUCUACCAGGGCAAGCCUUCCAAUGUGGGUACCUUGACAUUUCAGGCAAGGAGGCGGCACGACAGAAUCACGAGCUGGCAGCAGGCUGAUGGCAGUGCAUAGUUCUGCCGUCCGCUCUUCACUCAAAUACUCUAUCGAAGCCAAAGAUGGUUGUAGCCACAAUAAUCUCAAAGGCGUUCCCGGGACUGGCUGUCUGGUCAGGAGGCGUAGAUGUGGAAGUUGUCGGCUGAUCCAUAGCAACAAUCAAUGGCGGUUGCAAACACAACGUUGUCGAAGUAUAUAUAGGCAUGGACAGGAGAUCGGAAGAG
rnacentral:lncRNA from 1 species